GGGAUUAGUGGCGAACGGGUGAGUAACACGUGGGCAAUCUGCCCUUCACUCUGGGACAAGCCCUGGAAACGGGGUCUAAUACCGGAUAUGAGCCUGGGAGGCAUCUCCCGGGUUGUAAAGCUCCGGCGGUGAAGGAUGAGCCCGCGGCCUAUCAGCUUGUUGGUGAGGUAAUGGCUCACCAAGGCGACGACGGGUAGCCGGCCUGAGAGGGCGACCGGCCACACUGGGACUGAGACACGGCCCAGACUCCUACGGGAGGCAGCAGUGGGGAAUAUUGCACAAUGGGCGAAAGCCUGAUGCAGCGACGCCGCGUGAGGGAUGACGGCCUUCGGGUUGUAAACCUCUUUCAGCAGGGAAGAAGCGAGAGUGACGGUACCUGCAAAGAACGCCGGCUAACUACGUGCCACAGCCGCGGUAAUACGUAGGGCGCAAGCGUUGUCCGGAAUUAUUGGGCGUAAAGAGCUCGUAGGCGGCUUGUCACGUCGAUUGUGAAAGCCCGAGGCUUAACCUCGGGUCUGCAGUCGAUACGGGCUAGCUAGAGUGUGGUAGGGGAGAUCGGAAUUCCUGGUGUAGCGGUGAAAUGCGCAGAUAUCAGGAGGAACACCGGUGGCGAAAGCGGAUCUCUGGGCCAUUACUGACGCUGAAGAGCGAAAGCGUGGGGAGCGAACAGGAAUAGAUACCCUGGUAGUCCACGCCGUAAACGGUGGGAACUAGGUGUUGGCGACAUUCCACGUCGUCGGUGCCGCAGCCUACGCAUUAAGUUCCCCGCCUGGGGAGUACGGCCGCAAGGCUAAAAACUCAAG
rnacentral:rRNA from 1 species